rnacentral:RNase_P_RNA from 1 species
CGAGACGGCCGGGCGAUCGCGGCGCGCGGAACCACCCCGCACACGGGGCAGGCCGGGCGCGGAGGAAAGUCCGGACUCCACAGGGCAACGGUGGUUGCUAACAGCAACCCGGGGCGACCCGCGGGAACAGUGCCACAGAAAACAAACCGCCCGCCACGCGCGGGUAAGGGUGAAAAGGUGCGGUAAGAGCGCACCAGCACCCCAGGCGACUGGGGUGGCUAGGUAAACCCCACCGGGAGCAAGGUCAAGGUGCCCGCACGCGCGCCAUCCCAGAUGGUGCACAAGCGUGCGGCGUAGCUCUAGGGCUGCCCGCCCAACAAUGAGCAGGUAGGCCGCUUGAAGCCACCAGCAAUGGUGGGCUCAGAUGGAUGAUCGCCUCGUCCCACGCCUUCUUCGCGUGCCCUCGCGGUGCUGCGGAGUGGGCGGAGGAUAGGACAGAAUCCGGCUCAUAGGUCGUCUCGGCGC